rnacentral:lncRNA from 1 species
AUGGGAAGAAAGAUUCUGCUACUGAUGGCUCCGACUAGGGCUUGCUUGAAUUCCUGGCACCCAGCAAUCCCUUCCCAGGUGAUGCCUUUCACCAGGCUCCUGCUUCAUUCACCUCGGUUCUCCGCAGCAGCACCUGGAAAGCUCUUUGCUGCUCCCUACUGGACCUCAGAAACUGUUGUGAGGACAAGAAAAUCUAUAAGCUCGCUCAGUGUUAACCCUUGGGACUUCCCGAUUCCUGUGGAUUUUAUACAGUUGUUCCUGUUGUCCAUGCCGUAUUGCACUGCCCAAAUUCCCCUAAAGAAGCAGUUUCACCAGCUGCUGGGAAGGCUGUUGGCUAACAGUUCUUCACUCUUGAGUUUCUUUGGAAUUGCCUCAGCUGAAGAGCACUACCUGGCCCUCAGUCCUGUCCCCGACCUUCUGGGGCAACUCACACCCAGUGGUCACUCAAGGAGUGCUGUCAAGUUCUGGCCCCUCCUUCCCACUCGGGCCCGGUUGUGAAGGGUUAUCCCACAGCUGAAGCCUCCUCAUGACUUACUACAAUCCGACCUGCACCCUUCCCUUCCCCAGGUGAGGGUCCUAAGCGUUCUCCCCAGUAAGUGUCCUGCACCUUAUUUCCACCUCAGAGCCUGCUUCUGGGGAGCUGGGCCUGGGGCGGAUGCUUGUGCUCAUCAUUCAAAGACUUGAGUGCGAUGGCUGGAGGGGGACCUGCUGAGCCUGCAUUUUUGAUAGCAUCUCAGAUGAUCUUUGCGUUCAGGAAGAUUUGUGGAAAGCCUAGUGGGAAGAGAGCAUGAGGUUGAUGCCAGUCAGGGUCCCAACUGCCACUGCCUUGCCACCGCUGGCAAGUCACUUAGCCAACAAUUCUCUCUCCUUAUCUGAAAAACCAAAACCAAAACGAAAACCAAAAACUGCUCGGUCCAUUGGUGUAGUGGUUAAGUUCGCAUGCUCCGCUUCAGCUGCCCGGGGUUCAAAGGUUUGGAUCCCAGGAGCGGACCUAAACAUCACUUAUGAAGCCAUGCUGUGGCAGGCAUCCCAUAUAUAAAAUAGAGGAAGAUGGGCACAGACGUUAGCUCAGGGCCAAACUUCCUCAGCAAAAAGAGGAGGAUUGGCAGCGAUGUUAGCUCAGGGCUAAUCUUCCUCAAAAAAAACCAAAAAAACAGAAAAAAGGGAUUCCUUAAUACUGGCCUCAGAGGAUUGUUGUGAAGUUUGAGUAAAACAAUGCUUGCUAAUCAUAUAUGUUUAAAAGCUUCCAUCAGGCCACACACAGAGGAGUGGUCAGCAAAUGUUGGCCUCUUGCUCUCUUGAGAGGUGGAGAGAUGUGGGUGAAUAUAAACUGUGCUCUGAGAACACAUCAAAACCAUCUUGUCCCGCAAGAUCUGGGCUCAGACUGCUUGGAAUUCUUUUCUUUGGCUUAAAGCCGCGUCUUUUGCCCUUGUUAACAUGCGUAUACCCUCCGGGUGAGUUCAAUUGUCACUCAGAAAAAUUCCUGAAACUUUGAAAG